CUAAUAUUUAGCCUCUCUGUGCAGGUGUGAAGGUGCUACAGGAUGCUAAUAUUUAGCCUCUCUGUGCAGGUGUGAAGGUGCUACAGGAUGCUAAUAUUUAGCCUCUCUGUGCAGGUGUGAAGGUGCUACAGGAUGCUAAUAUUUAGCCUCUCUGUGCAGGUGUGAAGGUGCUACAGGAUGCUAAUAUUUAGCCCCUCUGUGCAGGUGUGAAGGUGCUACAGGAUGCUAAUAUUUAGCCUCUCUGUGCAGGUGUGAAGGUGCUACAGGAUGCUGAUAUUUAGCCUCUCUGUGCAGGUGUGAAGGUGCUACAGGAUGCUAAUAUUUAGCCUCUCUGUGCAGGUGUGAAGGUGCUACAGGAUGCUAAUAUUUAGCCUCUCUGUGCAGGUGUGAAGGUGCUACAGGAUGCUAAUAUUUAGCCUCUCUGUGCAGGUGUGAAGGUGCUACAGGAUGCUGAUAUUUAGCCUCUCUGUGCAGGUGUGAAGGUGCUACAGGAUGCUAAUAUUUAGCCUCUCUGUGCAGGUGUGAAGGUGCUACAGGAUGCUAAUAUUUAGCCUCUCUGUGCAGGUGUGAAGGUGCUACAGGAUGCUAAUAUUUAGCCUCUCUGUGCAGGUGUGAAGGUGCUACAGGAUGCUGAUAUUUAGCCUCUCUGUGCAGGUGUGAAGGUGCUACAGGAUGCUAAUAUUUAGCCUCUCUGUGCAGGUGUGAAGGUGCUACAGGAUGCUAAUAUUUAGCCUCUCUGUGCAGGUGUGAAGGUGCUACAGGAUGCUGAUAUUUAGCCUCUCUGUGCAGGUGUGAAGGUGCUACAGGAUGCUGAUAUUUAGCCCCUCUGUGCAGGUGUGAAGGUGCUACAGGAUGCUAAUAUUUAGCCUCUCUGUGCAGGUGUGAAGGUGCUACAGGAUGCUAAUAUUUAGCCUCUCUGUGCAGGUGUGAAGGUGCUACAGGAUGCUAAUAUUUAGCCUCUCUGUGCAGGUGUGAAGGUGCUACAGGAUGCUGAUAUUUAGCCUCUCUGUGCAGGUGUGAAGGUGCUACAGGAUGCUAAUAUUUAGCCUCUCUGUGCAGGUGUGAAGGUGCUACAGGAUGCUAAUAUUUAGCCUCUCUGUGCAGGUGUGAAGGUGCUACAGGAUGCUGAUAUUUAGCCUCUCUGUGCAGGUGUGAAGGUGCUACAGGAUGCUGAUAUUUAGCCUCUCUGUGCAGGUGUGAAGGUGCUACAGGAUGCUAAUAUUUAGCCUCUCUGUGCAGGUGUGAAGGUGCUACAGGAUGCUAAUAUUUAGCCUCUCUGUGCAGGUGUGAAGGUGCUACAGGAUGCUGAUAUUUAGCCUCUCUGUGCAGGUGUGAAGGUGCUACAGGAUGCUGAUAUUUAGCCUCUCUGUGCAGGUGUGAAGGUGCUACAGGAUGCUGAUAUUUAGCCUCUCUGUGCAGGUGUGAAGGUGCUACAGGAUGCUGAUAUUUAGCCUCUC